rnacentral:tRNA from 1 species
GAGGCCCUAGUAAACCAAUUACAUGGCCCUGUCAGCGCCAAAUCACAGGUGUCACCAAACCUGUGGGCCUCU